GAAGGGUGCAAGCGUUGUUCGGAUUUAUUGGGCGUAAAGCGCGCGCAGGCGGAUAAUCAAGUCAGAUGUGAAAUCUCGGGGCUCAACCUCGAAACUGCGUCUGAAACUGUUUAUCUAGAAUCUUGGAGAGGGAGGUGGAAUUUCGCAUGUAGGGGUAAAAUCCGUAGAGAUGCGAAGGAACAUCGGAGGCGAAGGCGACCUCCUGGACAAGUAUUGACGCUGAGGCGCGAAAGCGUGGGGGAGCAAACAGGAUUAGAUACCCUGGUAGUCCACGCCGUAAACGAUGAGAACUAGAUAUGGGUGACUUUGACCUCUUCCGUAUCGUAGCUAACGCAUUAAGUUCUCCGCCUGGGAGUACGGUCGCAAGACUA
rnacentral:rRNA from 1 species